AUACGGAGGAUGCGAGCGUUAUCCGGAUUUAUUGGGUUUAAAGGGAGCGUAGGCGGGAGCUUAAGUCAGCGGUUAAAUGGUGCGGCUCAACCGUGCCCUGCCGUUGCAACUGGGUUUCUUGAGAGUGCAAGAGGCGGAUGGAAUUCAUGGGGUAGCGGUGGAAUGCUUAGAUAUCAUGAAGAACUCCGAUUGCGAAGGCAGUCCGCUGGGGCACGUCUGACGCUGAUGCUCGAAGGUGCGGGAAUCAAACAGGAUUAGAUACCCUGGUAGUCCGCACGGUAAACGAUGAUUACCCGCUGUCGGCGGCAGACAGUCGGCGGCCAAGCGAAAGCGAUAAGUAAUCCACCUGGGGAGUACGCCGGCAACGGUGAAACUUAAAUGAAUUGACGGGG
rnacentral:rRNA from 1 species